UACGUAGGUGGCGAGCGUUGUUCGGAUUUACUGGGCGUAAAGGGUGCGCAGGCGGGAGAUUAAGUCGGCGGUGAAAUUUUGCAGCUCAACUGUAAAAGUGCCUUCGAAACUGGUUUCCUUGAGUGUAGAUGAAGUAGGCGGAAUUUGUGGUGUAGCGGUGAAAUGCAUAGAUAUCACGAGGAACUCCGAUUGCGCAGGCAGCUUACUAAACUACUACUGACGCUCAGGCACGAAGGCGUGGGGAUCAAACAGGAUUAGAUACCCU
rnacentral:rRNA from 1 species